AUUGAACGCUGGCGGCAUGCUUUACACAUGCAAGUCGAACGGUAACAGGCCUUCGGGUGCUGACGAGUGGCGAACGGGUGCGUAAUACAUCGGAACGCACCCAGAGGUUGGGGAUAACGCAGCGAAAGCUGUGCUCAUACCGCAUGUGAUCUGAGGAUGAAAGCGGGGGACCGAGCAGCAAUGUUUGGCCUCGCGCCUUUGGAGCGGCCGAUGUCGGAUUAGCUAGUUGGUGGGGUAAAGGCCUACCAAGGCGACGAUCCGUAGCUGGUCUGAGAGGACGACCAGCCACACUGGGACUGAGACACGGCCCAGACUCCUACGGGAGGCAGCAGUGGGGAAUUUUGGACAAUGGGUGCAAACCUGAUCCAGCAAUGCCGCGUGCGGGAAGAAGGCCUUCGGGUUGUAAACCGCUUUUGGCAGGAACGAAACGGUGUCCGCUAAUACCGGGCGCUAAUGACGGUACCUGCAGAAUAAGCACCGGCUAACUACGUG
rnacentral:rRNA from 1 species